rnacentral:rRNA from 1 species
UACGUAGUGUGCGAGCGUUAAUCGGCAUUACUGGGCGUAAAGCGUGCGCAGGCGGUCGUGUAAGACAGGUGUGAAAUCCCCGGGCUUAACCUGGGAACUGCAUUUGUGACUGCACGUCUGGAGUGCGGCAGAGGGGGAUGGAAUUCCGCGUGUAGCAGUGAAAUGCGUAGAUAUGCGGAGGAACACCGAUGGCGAAGGCAAUCCCCUGGGCCUGCACUGACGCUCAUGCACGAAAGCGUGGGGAGCAAACAGG